GGGUGGCGCACUUUUUAAGUCCAGCUGAUGGCUGCAAAACAGUCACACCCAUCUGAAGGCACACAUUAAAACACCAUGUUGACAAGGAGGGCAGGAAAAGUGCAUCCACCUCUCCGACAGCUUCACUCUCUCCAGGAAGACACCAUUCCCAUCGCCCUCAGGGGUACAAACUGAAGCCAAAUCCCCAACUGGAGCAACCAUGGGAAACGAGCAGUCCAGUGAUGCGGAUGUUUCCAUGAACGGCAUUGCUGUUGAGAAACAUGAAAACGGAUCGGUGAACGGCUUCUCUGCACACGUGAAGACUAACGGAGUGGAGACUAAUGUUAAGAGCGAUACACAUCAGAAUGGUGAAGCUAAGUCUUUAAAGCCCGUUGUGGAGCCAAGCACUCAUGUGGCCCUCGAGGUUGCCGCCAAACCCGCCGACGCCGAGGCCUCUUCUGAAGCCGGAGACGCGACCGACGGCAAGAAAAGCAAAGGAAAGGAAAAAGCACAGCUGCUUGAUAAACUGUUCAAAAAGAAAGCGGGCCAUGCAGCUGAUGAAGAUCAGAAAAACCAAAAAGAGAUCUUAAAGGAGGAUGGGAUUGCUCCGCAGAAGGAGGCUGCAGACCUGAAGCCGGGACCAGCGACGGGGACUCCGCAUCCACAUUCAGAGGAAGAGAACGCUCCCGCAGCCGCCAGCAGCAUCAGUCCGCCUGCGGAAGAGGAGGCUGAAGAUAAUCCAGUUAUGAACUUCUUCAAAACACUAGUGACCCCAACGAAAACGUCCAAAAAGGAAACAGCAGCUCCUGAUGCUGCCAAGGAUCAGCCCCCGAAGGAGACCCCACCUGCAGCAACCACCACUGUUGCACAAGUAUCGGAACCGCCUGCUGCACCCAAAGGAAUGCCCGCCCCACCUCCACCUCCUCCGGAGCCUCCCAAAACCGAGGCCAAAGGAGAAGCAACCGUCAAACCUGCGAAGGCCAAAGAUGAACCCAAGGCAGGAGCGAAGGAACCGCAGUCCACAAAGGGGAAAUCGGCCACUUUGAGUAAACUGUUUCGCUCAAAGCACACAGAAGACAAACCACAGCCAGUGGUGGAAGUCGAGAAGAAGGCAGACCCUUCAAAAGCAGCCACUCUGGAGGCUGCAGCAAAGCCAGAACCACCACCGCCUGCGAAGGAAGAAAAGAAAAGCUCAAAAACAUCCUUCUUCUCAGCCUUCAAGCCCAAAGCCGCAGAACCCAAGAAGACUGCAGCGAGCCCACCUGCAGCAGCUGAGGCAGCUGUGGCAGCGAAAGCCAAGGAAGAGCCCAAACCUGCAGCCAAGUCUUCAGAAGCAGCUGCAGAAACCAAACCGGCGUCAGCGGUCUCCCAGCCCGCAGACGACGCAGCCAGUGUCCCCAAAAAGCUGGAGAAAAGGAACUCCAUCCAGCUGUUCUUUAAGAAUCUGGGUCAGAAACGUCACUCCACAGACGCCGGGGUCCAGACGGAACCGGCAGCUGCUGCUCCAGCGGAAAAAGCCAAAUGAAGCCUCUGUCUGUACAUACGACCCCCACUCGACUUUUAUCUGUGCAGAAUUGACUCAGUGUUUUUCUCAUUUCUUUAACUUCCUGUUUGAGAAAUUAAAGCGGAGAGGAGGCUAAGCCGAAGGAUGUGUUGAAGGCUACAUUUCAAGAGUUAUAUAUAUAUUUUUGAUCACAAAUAUCUGAACAGGUGUAGGAAUGUGAGCACGAUCCUUCCUGUGUUUAAUAAUACUUAUACGCUAUAGAUACAGCAGUGCUUUGCUUGCAGGAAUUAACACAGAAAACUAAAGAAUUGCUCUUGGGUUUGCAUGUUUGCUGUCCAAACCAGGAAGUGCAUGCAAUUAAAAGCUGUACUUCAACAUCAAGUUAUAAAUACUAAUGAACCGUUUUGUAUUGUCCAAAUGCCUUUUAAGUACAUUUUAAAAACCUGUAACUGGCAAAAAGUGCGUCUUUGUCUUGUGGUUUGCAUACGUGUCAAGAAUUUAAUGAACGCACUUUGUGUCGCUUCAUUUGAAGUCUGGUGUUAGCUCUUUGUGUCAGACUCGUGUACGGUUAACAUGAUCCUCCAUGUGAGCCGGAUUCUGUAACUUCAGGUAUUUCAAAGACAAUAAACAUGCUCUGCAGUCGUUUGUUCUGUGUCAACUGAAAUCCUUAAUGGUUGGGUGUUGCAGCCUCAGUGACUCAGUGCAUGAAAAUAUGUUCUUGUGGCCGCUGACGAUCAAACAAAGACUCUGAAACAUCCACAUCUGUUUUGGCUGAAAGGCAAUUUAUAUGAAAGUUGAGCUGAACAUCUAGAAAUGGACACGAAUGGAAUAAAAAGAUAUAAAAUAUUGACAUCUGAGGAUGUAAAACUUUGGAAUUUCUGAGCCAGUUUGGCAGUAUUUAAGGCUCACCAUUCAGAAAACUUUCUCUUAUGACUUUAGCAGUAAUCUUCCAUUCUCACUGGUGUAGGAGGAAGACAGUGUGAGCAGAUAUCACAAGUACAUGUCCCUACAUGUAACCUUUCUAAUUCAAAAGCUGGUAAUGUAGCAUUUCUGUGCAAUGACGGUCAGAUUUCAUUAGGAUUGCAUCCUUUCUGUUGUUCAUAGUGAAGAAUAUUAUUGUGAGAGAUCUGUCAAUGUCUUUUUUUUUACCAAAUCUAUUGGUCUACUGAGAUUUACCUCUAAAUAUCUAAAAGUUACGAAAAAAAGUUUCUGAUUUCUGAGUUUGAUUUUACAGUGUAUUUUUCUGCUCACCCACACACGACCACCCUUAAAUUUAGAUUCAAAUUGAUAUAAAUAGUUUUAUUAAAAUUGUAUGAUUUCAGUUAAAAUAGAGGGCGAAACUGUUUCUUGUGCCUGAAGAAUAGUUACACCAGGUAGCAGUGGAUGCGGUUCAUUUUUCCCGUACGAAAAUGCAAGAGUUUGGAUUUUUGUUCGUUUUCUUUUUCAGAGAACAGCUGUGUUGACAUAACUCAACAUAAAUAUAAAUAUGGAUUUGGCUUAAAAUGUAUAAAAAAAUGAACAAAUAAACUUUAAAAUUGUGUGAUUUUGUAAAAGUUUUUUUAAAAAAAUGUAUCAUUUUCGUGGCCCCGAAAUGGUUUGAAAGCAGCAAAGCAGAUGAAUGAACAAAGGAAUGAAGUUGGAUGAUUUCAGUUAAAAUAGAUGGCAAAACUGUUUCUUGUACCUAAAGAUCAGUUACACCUGGUAGCAGUGGAUGCAGUUUACUUUUCCCGCACAAAAAUGCAAGAGUUUGGAUUUUAUUUGUUCGCUUUCUUUUUCAGAGAACAGCUGUGUCAACAUAACUCAACAUAAAUUUGGAUUUGGCUUAAAAUUGACACGUGAAUAAAUACAUUUGAAAAAUUGUAGGAUUUUAGUUAAAAAUAGAUGGCAAAACUGUUUCCUGUACCCAAAGAAUAGCUACAUCAGGUAACAGUGGAUGCAGUUUAUUUUUCCCUCACAGAAAUACCACUUUGUUAACAUAAUUCUAUAUAAAUUUGAAUUUUUGCCAAAGUUUCUUGAAUGAAGAAAUGCUCAGGACAAGUCCCUCCCUCCAGGUACAAGAUCUCUAUUAGACAACUAACACAUCUAUUCUAGAUGUCUACUGGUCAUCUCAGACAACGCCGUUUUUCUACUCAAUCAGACGUCUACCGAUAUUCUUCUCUGCCUAUUGAGGUGUCCUACACAUCUACCCAUUUCUGGGGUAGUUUUAUUUGCAAAUGUUUUCAAAAAAUAAUUUUAAUGGACAUCUAAAAAUACCCAGAGAUUAGAUGUAACUGGUGGAUUUGAGAGAGACAUCUUAAUACAAAACCUCAUUGGUAGAGACAUCUAAUGGGAUAACAAAGAUGGAUGUCUACUAAUUAGCUGAUAGUAGGAAGUUGACCUGUGCGGGUUUGCCCCUUUUUCACACACAGACACCACAGGUUCACACAGGUUUUUUGUAUCAUCUGAAAAAGGCUUUACAAACAGAUAGUAAUCCUAGGGUGACAGGAAACUAUAGACUACAUACAAGAUAAAAUACUGGGGUAAUUUAUUUUAGAAAAGGACCAUAUUUAUCAUGAGUUCACAGCUUCCUCAGUACAGAUGGAUUAUUUAUUUCUAAUGUAUUUAUAUGUUUAUGUAUUUAUGCUGAUGAAUGCAUUUUAUUGAAGUUCUUUUUGUACUUGUGCUGACAUUUGCUCUGCAAAUGGAGUUCCU
rnacentral:lncRNA from 1 species